rnacentral:lncRNA from 1 species
AAAUAUAUGCUCAAGUGAGCAAAAUGAAAAGUAAUAUGUAUAAUGAGCAAGAAAUAAAUGGCAUUAAAAGUAAAUGGCAAGAAAUUAAAAGCUCAAAUUAAAGUUAGUAGUUAGUAAGGUUAUGUUAGCUUGUCGUAAUACAAUAUAGCGCUAUGUUAACCAAUAGUAAGUGGACUAAUGUAGUAGUCACACCUAUCUGAGGCCGGUCAAUAAGAAUAUAGGCAAAUAACACAAGUUAGAGAUCAUG